CAGAGACGGGACAAUGAUAGGCAAACAUCCUAAGAGGAAACGGACAGAGGACUAUAAAUUAAACAAGAGAGGCUAAAAUCAGGCCAGAAGGGAGACCCUUACCAUUACUAGUGCGGCUUUCCAGCAGUGGAGAGAACUCCGGGAGCUGAAAGGCCUAAAAAUAUACAUAGAAGUUGCUGCUCGACAGCACCUUCUGUCAGGCAGCACCACCACCUGAACUCAAUUAAACUCUGCUGCUGACCCAUUUCCCUAGCAAUGAGCUCAGGGAAGAAUCUGACAAAUGCAAGUUCAUGCCUGCAUGUGCCCAGAGGAUUGUGGCUUCAAGGAACACUCGUAGAUCAAAACUCUGAGGGUCAUGCAGAGGCUGGAGUCACUUACACCUGAUGUCUACACGUGACACCCUUUAGCAG